AAAUGAGAGUUCUGGAAUUGAACAUGGAUCUGUCAUCAAAUCUUCUGGGAACAGACCAGGCCUUAAUUUUGCUAUUAUAGACAAUAUAUUAGUCAAGCAGAAGUUGAAACACAACUUAAGCAUAAAAAAAGUUGAGAAAAGUGUAGUUGACCCAAAUAAAGUCACCUCAGGGGCUGAUCUGGAGGCUGUGAAGACCUGUGAGCUUUGCAAGCAGAACCUGAUAAUUAAUGUGGACAAUUUUAACAUGAAUGCACAUUACAGAAAUCACCAACAGUCAUGGAUCCAUUUACCAAGGAGCUGGUGAUGAGGUAUGAAAUCAUGCUGCUGCUGCUAAAGAAAGGUUUCUCUGAAUUCCAACACACCAGUUACAGGAAAAAUACCACAUAUAAACAGGAUUUAAAUGACUUGUAAUGCCUGGGAACAAUGCUAAAUGCCAAAUGAGUUAUUUCAUUCUAGAGGAAGACUUCACAUCACAUGUUUAUACCACAGCUACUAUUCUCAUAGCAAACCUCUUUCAGCUGGAGCGAGUUUCGUUUCUUUGUUGGACUUGCUUCCACUUCCAUGGGGUUUUGCCAAAGGAGGGCUCUUCCCGUUCUGUCAGCUGGGGCUACAGUGACACCUAGUAACUGCUUGGCUAAUUACAGCUGAGGUUUUCCCAGGCUCUAUCCGGCGUGGUAGCUCCAGCAGUGAGAAAUUCCUCACCCACAGCAGGAUUUGCCUUUUGCACUAGUAGCAUAUCGCCUCCGAUUGCCAUGAGAGCCAGUGCUCAGAGCUGAAUAGUCUCAAGCACUGAGAAAUAGCAAUUUACUUGCUUAUGCUGACACACUCCUCAGAAUAUAAAAUCAUGCUUUGAAUCAGACAUUUUAAUUAAUUAGUGAUAGUGUCACUUCUAAAGAGACAUUCCUGCAUACUUUCUACAUUUUACAUUAUCCCCCAUAUGGCCACUAUGCCAGCAGUUCAUUCCCCAGAAGAAAUACAUCUGCUAGUUGUCUUAUUGAAUAGACUAAAUUUACUUCUUAUGUAAUAUUUAAGAAUUAAAUAACAAUUCAAAUGCUAUAGAUUUGACAAAACCAUCAAAAAGAAAACUGCAUUUUCAGCUGUAUUGUAAAUAAUAACCAAGGUAAUCUAAGAAAGCAGGACUUUGCAGUUUUUGCAUGAUUUGCAACCAGUGACUUGAAAAGGUUUUCCACAUAUUAAAACUUAACAACAGUACUGUAAGAAUUACAAAAUUCCCAUUUUUAGGAAAAAAGAUGCUGAGGCACUGGGCACUCUAGUGAUUUCCACAGUGUUUAGAAGAUGUUUAUGUACAACAAGGAGACCAUACUUUCCGCCUUACUGUACUUUCCCACAGUAAUUCAAACUGUAUAAAUCUGAAGGCUAUAUCAAUUAAUAAAUAUCUUUUGAAUGUUGGGGAAGCUGUUCUACCCUCAGAUGGGCAGCAAAACCAAGUUCAGAAGGAUUUGCACAGGUGCCUCUGAGAGCAGAACAGCAGGCUAGUAGUGCAGAUAAUUGGCAAUCAAAAUAAUUAUUCAGUGAUUGUUCUCUACUUCCAAGCUUAAGAGAAAGCAAUGACAUUUCAUCUUGUUCAGUUAGUAUUUUUCUUGUUGAUGAAGAAAGGUAUUCUAAAACACCCUGCUUUCUUCACUUACAAAUCCUGACUCUGAGAAAAACAGAUAAAACUCUCAUGAUGUUGGAAUUUCACCAAGAAGCCUUUAUACCAAGUACCCUUUUCAUUGUUUUUUAUACCCCUACUUUUCUUCUACUUUAAUUAAAGCCAAAACAACUGUGUUUAUGUCACACAGUCCUUUUUGUAGUCCUACUGAUGUCUUUAAAAGUCCAAACACCAACUGCUAAUUACUUUAAAAGACCAUAGGUCAAGGCAACUAGUAGUGAAGUCAACAUAGCAUUUCUAUUGAUUAUGUCCUAAAACUGCCUCACCUAAUUGGAAACAGUUGGCUAGUAAGCUGGGUUUUUAACUGACCUCCUUUAACCUUUAAAAUCACAAGCUACGGAGAUGCCUGUGGUUCCUUUACUGUGUGUUUUGAGUCACAUAUAAUACUGACAUUCUUUGCUUCUGAGGUUUCUUCUGAUUAGAGCUUGAGCUUAUAAAGUGAUGUGAUCCUGUACACAGCUUACAGCCGAAAGGUCCAAAGCACACUUAUACAUCUGUUGAUCGAAUGCAUGUGACAACAAAUCAUCGAGUGCAUUGCCUUCAGCUUGAGUGGGAUGAACUUUCGGUAACAUUCUUGUAUUUAAUGUUCCCUUUCUUUAACAUCUAGCAUGGCCUCAACAGAGAGGGGCUUUUCCUUCGUUUUAGAGGGGAGAAUGAAGGCAGAAGAAAACCAGUUACUCAGAUCUUGACUUGAAUGCUGACAUACAAAGACACCGAGUUGAAUCCAUGCAAAGCAACUAGAAGAUACUGCUGUUGUUUGGAAGUGGAAAUAGGAAGGAGCCUGAAGGCUUCACUGUACUGUACAGCAAAAAGCCUGGAGCAGUUGUAUCUCAGCAAAAAAUUGGAUUGAUUGGUACAAAUUUGCUGUAUAAAUUCUUCUAAGCUACACUCACAUUUGUACAUGAACCUCCUGAAUUCUUGUCUGAUUAACACAUUUCCUAACUUCUCAAUUCCACAUAAACUUGAAAUAUUUUACUUAAUAAAUCAUCAUUCUUUUUCUGUGUGUGA